rnacentral:rRNA from 1 species
GGGUGCGAUCAUACCAACAUUAAUGCACUAGAUCCCAUCAAAAUUCCACAGUUAAGUGCGCUUGGGCUUGACUAGUACUGGGAUGGGUGACCUCCUGGGAAGUCCUAGUGUUGCACCCU